rnacentral:rRNA from 1 species
GUCCACGCCGUAACGAUGGAUACUAGCUGUUGGAGCAAUCUCAGUGGCUAAGCGAAGUGAUAAGUAUCCCACCUGGGAGUACGUUCGCAAGAAUGAACUCAAGGAAUUGACGGGGCCCGCACAAGCGGUGGAGCAUGUGGUUUAAUUCGAUGAUACGCGAGGAACCUUACCAAGGCUUAAAUGUAGUUUGACCGUUUUGGAAACAGAACUUUUCGCAAGACAAAUUACAAGGUGCUGCAUGGUUGUCGU